CCUACGGGAGGCAGCAGCGGGGAAUAUUGCACAAUGGGCGCAAGCCUGAUGCAGCCAUGCCGCGUGUGUGAAGAAGGCCUUCGGGUUGUAAAGCACUUUCAGUAAGGAGGAAAGGUUAAGUGUUAAUAGCGCUUAGCUGUGACGUUACUUACAGAAGAAGCACCGGCUAACUCCGUGCCAGCAGCCGCGGUAAUACGGAGGGUGCGAGCGUUAAUCGGAAUUACUGGGCGUAAAGCGUACGCAGGCGGUUUGUUAAGCGAGAUGUGAAAGCCCCGGGCUCAACCUGGGAACUGCAUUUCGAACUGGCAAACUAGAGUGUGAUAGAGGGUGGUAGAAUUUCAGGUGUAGCGGUGAAAUGCGUAGAGAUCUGAAGGAAUACCGAUGGCGAAGGCAGCCACCUGGGUCAACACUGACGCUCAUGUACGAAAGCGUGGGGAGCAAACAGGAUUAGAUACCCUGGUAGUCCACGCCGUAAACGAUGUCUACUAGAAGCUCGGGUCUUCGGACUUGUUUUUCAAAGCUAACGCAUUAAGUAGACCGCCUGGGGAGUACGGCCGCAAGGUUAAAACUCAAAGGAAUUGACGG
rnacentral:rRNA from 1 species